UCCUUCACCUCGUCGUCAUUAGAAAGGAAGGCCCUGCCUAAAGAGAGAACGGAAAGCAGGGGAGUGAACAGGCACUUUAUUUUCUUGCAAGGGGGUGGGAUGUCAGGCAGCUUUCUCUCUCUCUCUCUCUCUCUCUCUGUAUAUGUAUAUGUAUAUGUAUAUGUAUAUAUGUAUUGAAUUAAUGAGGCCAAGCCCUCCCUCCACCCCAGGCCAGUUGGAGAGGAACUGAAAGGAGGAGCCCUGGCUGCCCCAACUGCUGAGGGAUCAUCUCCCAAGUGCCACCUGCCACCAGAAACGUCCACAGCGCUUUCUCAGCCGGGAUGGAUGAUGUCAUCACUUCCGAAGAGGAUCCGCUCCAUACAUUUCAGGGUUGGUUGCUUCUCAAAGGUUGGAGUGGACCUCCUCUACACUGGAAUACUUGGACUGGACUGGAUGGCCCUUGUAGUCUCCUCAACACUUCCACAAGGUUGUGCUGCCCCCACACUAUCUUAGCUACUUGGAAGGUGAACUGGCUGCACAGGAAACAGAUCAGAGACUAUAUGGCGGAAUCAAAUAAGAAUUUAUUAACUGGAAUUUAUUAACUUAUUUCCGGUCCAACUUACUUGUCUGAACGUAUCUCCUCCUAUGAACCAUCAAGGACCCUGAGAUCGUCUGGGAAGGCCCUGCUCUCGGUCCCACCUGCCUCACAAGCGCGGCUGGUGGGAACGAGGGACAGGACUUCUCGGUGGUGGCCCCUCAGCUGUGGGACGCCCUCUCUGGUAACAUUCGGCGGGCCCCGACCCUUCUAGUCUUCUCAGCAGACUGAGAGCCAAAACCAAGGUCACCACAACAUCUAUUAUAGAAGUCCAAUAUGCUGAUGACAAUGUAGUCUGUGCGCAUUCAGAAGAAGACCUACAAGCCACUCAAAACACCUUCACAGAAGCAUACGAGAAGCUCGGCCUCUCACUGAACAUCGAGAAAACCAAAGUGCUCUUCCAACAGGCACCAGCUAAUCCCUCUGCAAUGCCAGGAAUAUAGCUUAAUGGUGUAACAUUAGAAAACGUUGACCACUUCUGCUAUCUUGGCAGCCACCUCUCCACAAAAGUCAACAUCAACACUGAAAUACAACACCGCCUGAGUUCUAUGAGUGCAGCAUUCUUCCGAAUGAAGCAGAGAGUGUUUGAUGAUCGGGACAUCCGUAGAGAUGCCAAGGUGCUUGUUUACAAAGCCAUUGUCCUCCCAACCCUGCGAAACGUGGACGGUCUACAGACGUCACACUCAACUCCUGGAGCGUUUCCAUCAGCAUUGCCUCAGAAAAAUCCUGUGGACAAAUGUCAGCGUGCUUGAGGAAGCAAAGACCACCAGCAUUGAAGCGAUGCUCCUACGCCAUCAACUCCGCUGGACUGGCCACGUCUGAAUGCCCGAUCACCAUCUCCCAAAGCAGUUACUCUACUCCCAACUCAAGAACGGGAAAUGUAAUGUUGGUGGGCAGGAAAAGAGAUUUAAAGAUGGGCUUAAAGCCAACCUUAAAACUGUGGCAUAGACACUGAGAACUGGGAAGCCCUGGCCCUUGAGUGCUCUAAUUGGAGGUCAGCUGUGACCAGCAGUGCUGCGGAGUUCGAAGAGGCACGAAUGGAGGGCUUAAGGGAGAAACGUGCCAAGAGGAAGGCCCAUCAAGCCAACCCUGACUUGGACCGCCUUCCACCUGGAAACUGAUGUCUUCACUGCAGGAGAACAUGCAGAUCAAGAAUAGGUCUCUUCAGCCAUCUACGGAUCCAUCCCCAAGACAACAGAGACGGAGGACCAUCAUCCUCGAACUACGAGGGAUUGCCUAGGAAUAAUAAAUAAGAAAUUGGAGAAGAAUCAAGACAUAUAAUUAAGCUGCCUGACAACUGUGGCGAGACUAGUAUAUGCAAAAAAACUGGAGAUUAAAGGAAUUACCAACUCUUCAGCAAUGGGAAAUAAAGAUUUUGGAGGUGAGAAACAUGGAUGAACUAACCAAUUUAUUGACAAGUCACCAAGGAUUGACAAGAAAAUACGUAGACUGGAGCUUAGUAAAAGACUUCUUAAAUCAGAAGAAGAACAAAAUGAUUGUUUAGAGAACAUUUAUUUUAAAUUUAAGAAAGACCAUCUGAAAUCUAGAGAGAAGAAAAGGAGAAGCGCGAGAAGAACAUCAAUGAUUGGAUUAAAUAAAUUGACUAUGGACACGAGGAGGAAGAUUGAAUUAUGAAAUGUUUAGUUGACCCUUCUCAACCUUAUUUUCCUUUCUAACCCUAACCCUUUACCUCCAAGGCCCUUUCUCCCCUAUUCCUCCCACUUUUCCCAUAUUACCUCCCCCUUUCCAAACAUCCUAUAGAUUUGUUUUAGUAUCUCUUUAUCUCUUUAUCAUUUAAAUUUAUCUCCUAGAAAAACCUAAUAAAAUAUUAUAUAUUUUUAAAAAAGAAUUUAUUAACUGACAAGAAUUUUAGACUUUCUCUCCUUCUGAGUCUCACUACAAAGUACUUAUGAGGAAAGGUAAAGUCUUUGAGAGAUAGACACAGUUCUGGCUGAACUAAGGCUCUUGAAUCUUUAUUUCUUAUUAUUCUCUCUGUCUUGUAUAAUGUUCAACUGUCUCAAAGAUGUAUUGUCGAAGGCUUUCAUGGCCGGAAUCACUGAGUUGCUGUGAGUUUUCUGGGCUGUAUAGCCAUGUUCCAGAAGCAUUCUCUCCUGACAUUUCGCCCACAUGUAUGGCAGACAUACUCAGAGGUUGUGAGGUGUUGGAGGUGUCUGAGGUGUCUGCCUGUCUUCCCAAGAGAUUUGCAGGAUUUUUCAAAAGCAAUGCUGAUGGAAUUGUUCCAGAAGUUGAGAGUGGCAUUUAUAGAUGGUCCAUGUUUUGCAGGAGUACAAUACAGUUGGAAGGACAAUAACUUUAUCAACAUCUUGGUAUCCCUGCAAAUGUCCCGAUCCACAAACAGUCUCUGCUUCAUUCGAAAAAAUGCUGUACUCACAGAGGUGAGACAGUGUAUUUCAGCGUCAUGUGGAGAGGUGGCUGACAAGGGAGUGAAAAUGGUCAACAAUUUCUAGCAUUACAGCUGACAUUCCAGAGAGAUUGGUUUGUGCCUGCUGUUAGAGCACUUUGAUUUUUUUUCAGUGUUAAGUGAACACACAAACCUACUUACCAUGACAAAGUGAUGAUCUAGACAGGGGUCUUCAUUGCAAUAUUUAGAGAUAUUGGUAUCACAUUUUUCCUCCAACAGGUUGGGUGCAUCAUGUAACCUACUUCCCCAUUUUUAUCUUCACAAAUAUUCAAAAAGAGGCUAGUUCGUGGGAUGGACCAUUCUGGCACCAUUAGAGCUAAGCAGAGAUUGAAACCCAAGUCUUCACUGUCUGUCUAUUCAUAAAUACAUUCAUCUGAGAAGCCACAAAACAAGAGAAAACACCAACAAUGUAAUGCACAUUACUUGAGAGACAUGACAGGGCUGAAAACCAGUGGUUUGAUUGGACAUUCCUUUGCAGCAAACUCCCUUUAACAUCAGAACAGUACUUGAUAUUUGUAGAUAUUUAUAUGCUCUUUAAUUUUAUUUAUGUGGUUUUUACUCAGUGAUUCCCAAGUGUUAGAUCUCCAGAUGUUGGGGAGAUGUCCCCAGAAUGUCUAACUGUUAGCCAAGGUGACCCUGGCUUCUGGGAGCUGAAGUCCAAAAACACUUUGAGAACCAGUUUGAGAACCACUGCUUUAACCAGUAGUCAGUAUGGUUUGAUCCUGGAAGUGAAUGUUGUAGUAAAGUGCCUUAUACUUCAAGCCUGGAAAGUCGCAACACUCAUCAUUCAUCUUUCAAUAAGAUGGAGAUUGUGUUGCUUUAUUUCUUUUUGAAAGUACGUCUUGCAAGUUUGAUUCGAGAUCUCUUUGGCUGUAUCACCAGCUUACAUAAAUAUGUAUGGCUAGACUGUCAUUUUAUCCUAUGUUCUGACCCCUCUAUCUAUGUUGUAUUUGCAAUGAUAAAGCACAUACUACGUAUUCAGAAGUUCUCCGCUCCAGUACAUAUUAUCUUCCGUUGAAAGGAUCAGCUGCAAGUGUUGACAAAUAUAUUUUCUGGGUAAGAUUAGGGAUGCAGUUUGGGAACAUUACUUUUUUUUUAACAACACCCAGACUUCUUCAUAAAAUAUCUUUUUAUAGCUCUAAUAUGGAAGAAUUUUAACAGCUGGGCAUUCUGUUGGGGAAAGAAUUUUACCCUCCUGCAACUCCAUUGCUCAAGUAAGUUUUUAAAAAUUUUAUUUUCAAGGAAAUUUGCAGUUUUGUAAAAUUUAGAGUUUUGAUUUUUAAAGAAUGCCUUUAAACCUUUCUUAACUGGGAGAGAGAGUGGGGGUGGAAGCCAGAUAAUCUUGCUUUCUCAUUUUAAUUCUGUGUUGGCAUGAUGACACAAAAGUAGCCAGACAUCAUUAUAUCAGGUAAUACAAUGGGAAUAUAGCUGGGAAUAUACCGCGAUCAGGUGCUAUUGGUGGGUUUUGUAUAAGAAAUGACUGUUGUAGGGAGAUGAUGGAUCAUCAAUGACUAUCAUGCUAUACCCAGUGGUUCUCAACCUUUCUAAUGCCACGACCCCUACAUGCCCUGAUCCUCUCACGUUGUGGUAACCCACAACCAUAAAAUUAUUUUCAUUGAUACAGUACUUCAUAACUGUAAUUUUGCUACUAUUAUGAAUUGUAAUGUAAAUAUCUGAUAUGCAGGAUGUAUUUUCAUUCACUGGACCAAAUUUGGCACAAACACCCAAUAUGCCUAAAUUUGAAUACUGGUGGGGUUGGGAGGAUUGGUUUUGUCAUUUGGGAGUUGUAGCUGCUGGGAUUUAUAGUUUAUCUACAAUCAACGAUCAUUCUGAACUCCACCAAUGAUGGAACUGAACCAAAUUUGGCACAUAGAACUCCCAUGACCAACAGAAAAUACUGGAAGGGUUUGGUGGACAUUGACCUUGAGUUUGGGAAUUGUAGCUCAUCUACAUCCAGAGAGCACUGUGGACUUCAAACAAUGAUGGAUCUGGACCAAACUUGGCACGAAUACUCAAUAGGAUGAAAUUUGAAUACUGGUGGAGUUUGGGGAAAACAGACCUUGACAUUUGGGAGUUGUAGUUGCUGGGAUGUAUAGUUCACCUACAAUUGAAGAGCCCCUUGAACCUUACCAACAAUAGAAUUGAACCAAACUUCCCACACAGAACCCCCAUGACCAACAGAAAAUACUGGAGUGAUUUGGGUUCUUAAGACCAUCAGAAAUAUGUGUUUUCUGAUGGUCUUUGGCAACCCCUCUGAAGCCCCCCUUGCAACCCGCCCAGGGAUCCCGUUCCCCAGGUUGAGAAAUGUUGCUAUAAGGCUUCUAUGCCAGAUUGCCUCCUCAAUGAAAUAGAGUCCCUAGCUUUGCAUGUAAUUUGUGUAGUUAUCUGAGAGACAAAAUAGAUCUUACCAUGGUAAGCAAGUAUAAGCCACAUAUGUCAAUUAUAGUUCACCCACAAAACCAGUUCACCACAUACAUUCCUGAUUUGUUAGGACUACAGCUGCUAUUCCUUAUAGUACAGCUAGCCAUGAUGGCUGGGGCUGAGCUGAUAACUCUUGCAGUCGCAACACAUCUGGAGAAAUCCAGGUACAGGAUGCAGCACAAAACAACUGCUUAUCAUUUAAGGUACAAGUGCAAUCCGCAUUCCAAUUUCAGGCUCUGAAGAAGAUUUUGAGAUUGGGCGCUAAGAGGCCUCUAGCAAUGUUGCAGCCAGCUAAGGCUCUUCACAAAUGUUUUCCAUUUCUGUUUUAAAAUUAGCAAUUUGGUCUUUCUGCACCCAUGACUGAUUAUUUUGUUUUCUUUCAAUCCAUGGUGAAAAGAACUUGCAGUGUAAGGAGGAAGAGUUCCAAGGGCAAGUCAAACUCACAAUUAGCAGAAAGAUUGAUAAUGGUCCCUAACCUCACCAGGACACUCACAACUCCUUGGACAAAAAAAUAUAUAUCUCACAGCCUGAUUUAAAUGUAAGGAGAUAUUUCAGCUUCAAUUUCACACACAGAGAAUUAGCUCCAUGGACAGUGUGCAUUUCCUCCACAGCUUAGUAUCCUCCAAUAUUUAACAGAUAAAAGCUGGGACACUUACUGCCAAGAAACAUCAGAGUGUGACCAGAAGUUAUUAAUGGAAAGGAAAACACAAGCUACAGGAGGAUGCAGCAAUUUGCUUUUGACUGAGCCUACAUGGAAGGACAAGAUUCUGAGUCUUCUUCUCCUUCCAUUUGUUUGAAUGCAAACUACUUAAAAUUCUGUUUGCAUCAGUUGAAGCAAGACAGGGUAAAGGAAGAAGAGAAGAAACUGGGGAUUUUAAACACAGAUGAAGAAGUAUAAUUAAUUGAGACUAGGCUUGCUAAAUUGGGAGAGUUGGAGACUAGGCAGUUCAUAAAAAUUAGUUUUAUCAUAGACCAGUGGUGUCCAGCCUUUGGUCCUCCAGCUCCCAGAAUUCCUGACCAUUCGACAAGCUGGCCAGGACUUCUGGGAGUUGGAGUCCUAAACUCCUGGAGGGAGUUUGGACACCACUGAUCUAGACACAUUCAGUGUUUCUUUUUUCAGAUAAAUAAAAUAGCAAAUGUUAAGAAGAAACCCAAUAUUAUUAGUGACAACAAACAUCAAGCCCAGACAGUAUUAAAAUCUGACAUAUAAUUUAGUUAAAAACCAAGAACAGUUUAAGCCAACCUGACUGUAGACCAGGUAUGGGCAAACUUUGGCCUUCCAGGUGUUUUGGGAUUUUAGCUCCCACAAUUCCUAACAGUUUGCCCAUGCCUGCCGUAGACGAUCUCCUCCAGCAGAGCUACUGGAGGAAAAGCCCCUUUCUCACAAUUAUCAAUAAAUAAACAUAAUGCAAACUAGUACUUGGAAAAAAUUAUUUUUUGGAAGAUUACUUUCAAUAUAUUGACUGAAGCAAUCCUGGAAAACUGCUGUUGUGCGUACCUUCUGCCUAAAUAUGUCCAGAGUUUGGAAAGGGUAGUUUUACACAUAAUUUUGUAAAGUUCUGAACCAAGCUCCAGUCAGUGUUGGGCAAGUCAGAAGCUCUGUUAGAAGCAUAGAACUAUGGGGUUGAAAGGAAUAGAAAUGACUAUGUAGUUCAGCAAAGGCAUCCCUAACAUAUGCUCAUCCAGUGAAGGAGAAUCCACUAAAUUCUGAGGUUGUCAGAAAAUCUCAAAUAGCUCUUACUGUCAGGAUAUUAUUUCUAAUUUUUAGUCAAAAUGUCCUUUCAUGUAAAUUGGUUCUGAGGGUUUAGAUCUUAUCCUCAGGAGCAACGGAAACCAAGCUUGCUCCAUCUUUUACGCAAUGCUGUUCUGAUAUUUGGUGAUAUCUAUUACAGUAUAGGGUCUGUACUAUAAUAGUAAUAGAACACAUAGUACUGUAAUAGAACACAGAAUACGUUCAACACAGAAUGCGUUCCCAGACUUCAUUUGAAUGCCCUAUUGAAAUGAAGGACUUCUGCCCCAAGAAAAUUCAUGCUGGAGGAUCUAGAACAGUAGUUCUCAACCUAGGGUUCCCCAGAUGUUUUGGUCUUCAACUCCCAGAAAUUCUAACAGCUGGUAAACUGGCUGGAAUUUCUGAGAGUUGUAGGACAAGAUACCUGGGGACCCACAAUUUGAGAACUACUGAUCCAAAAGAUGCAUAGAGAGAACAUGUUUGUCAGACAUGGAUAAAUGAAACCAUGGCUACUGGUCCUGUUAAUGGAGGUCAUACUAUAUUUUAAACCACUUUCUUACUUUUUUCACAUAGCCAAGAAUGAUAAUAUUAUAAAAAGCAAAUGAUAGGAUUAAUAACAUGACAAAUGAUUUAGCUACUUUUGAGGAAUUGCAAAACCGAUAGUAGCACAUUAGCUUUGCAGAACUCUGCAAGAAAGUCCUUUAAAAUAUAUUUGUUAUAUCUUUAAAAUACAUCAUUGCAAGAUCUGUCCGAGACCCACUAAAAGACAUGGCACUCUUCUGUCUGACUUCUGAUUCAGUUCUGACUCUGCUAAGGCAUUUUAAAAAUCACAAGUUGACAACUUUAAAAAUAUGAAUUCUUGAUAGUAAAUAAGAUGCAACAGUGAUGCUGGCUAGAAAGACAAUUUGGAAAAUGUGCAGUGAAAAAGUGUGUUGCUGCACAUGUGAAAACCUUUAUAAAAGAAGGAAAAUAGCCUUCAAACCACGAUUGGGUCUUCUGUUUCCAUCUUAUCCCAAACAGUAUGAUGUGGUGCAUUUCUGAGUUGGAAAAGUGAUGAAGUCAUGAAGAAUAUUAGCCAAAGAAAACCAUAAAACCACAGUGACUCCACCUGUUUCAUUUUUGAAGUCUAAACCAUUGUUUUGUUAUCUAACAUGCCCAUCCCAGUAACAUCUAUUAUUUGCUGGAGAGGGAACCAUUUUAAGGCCGUGGCAUUCAGUACUUGAAGCAAGAGAUUGUUUGAAGAAAACUCAUCAAUUCAGAAUACCCUUUUCAAAGCCGAUAGCUUUGAUUAAAAUCUGUUCAUAAAUCAUUUUAAUAUCCCUGACUAGUGACCAUAAAAUUGCUUGAAUGAAUUUAACACUUUCAGUUAUAUUCAUUAAGUAUAUAAAGGUCCAUUGUUGGGAAAGUUUGCAGUCUGGUGUUUUAUUAUUUUGGGACAUCCACCACACGUUGUUAAGUGUGGACUGACUGGAAAAUUGUGCCAGAAGGGAGAUGGAGACUAAGAACAAUGAAUUGAGGUCCACAUUAUAAUUGAUCCUGGCAAAUUUAAACCAAUUUCUUCCAAAAGGGGAAAUCAGAACUUCGAAACGUUACUUUUCCAGGCUACAAUACCUAGAUCUUCACAGCCAAUAUAGUAUGAACAUUGACCAUGCUGCCUCUGGAAUUUGAAGUAGUGUAGAUCACAAAAGCAACUUUUCCAAGUUCUUUGCCAAAUGGAAACACGCGUCCCAGUUUUUUUCCUUUCUUCCAAAUUCUUCUUUGUCUUCAGCUUCUGAGGUCAUUGGAAAAUGUAAUGCCAGCACGUACUGGCACCUGGAAGAAAAACAUACCUCAUUAAGCUUUAGGAGAAAUGGACUCUAGCCCACAAAAUCGUAAGCCAAAUAACAUAGGCCAAUGGCCAAACCACUAUACCAUUUGGCUCUCCAAAGCCACUACAGUAAUGGAGCUGGAAGAGCCUACAAGAUCCAUCCAGUUCAACUCCCUGCCAUGCAGGAAUAUAGACUUGUGUCCAUGUGAUAAAAGAAUGCAUAUAUACAUAGAAAACAUAUGGUUAGUAAAUCUUGAUGCAAUAUAGUUCAACCACUUCCUUACAUGGUUCACACUAACUCAUUUGAGGGAGGCAGUCCUCUGGUUUAUCCAAGACUCUAGUCCAUUUACACUGUUGAAUUAUUGCAGUUUGACACCACUGUAAAUGGUAUGGCUCAAUGCUAUGGAAUCAUGGGAGGUUUAGUUUGAUGAGGCACCAGCACUCUUUGGCUAAGAAGGCUAAAGAUCUUGUGAAACUACAACUCCCAUGAUUCAUUAAGGACCUCAUCCCACAAGGAGGGGAGAAGCAGGGGGAUUUGUCAUUUUAUUGUUUGUCUUCAUUUUAAAGAAAAUUCUCACGGAGCUGACAAAAAAAAAACACAGGACUGCUUCCAGUGGAUUUCAUCUUUAAAGUGAAGAGAACCCAAGCUUUAUGAAGCCAGGGAACAAUCAACCCCACUGAUUUCACUUAACAUAGAAAUGGUUGAAACCAGCCAUCUGAAAGUGGGAUUGCAACUGUUGUAUUUUUAGGUGGGAUGGGAACUAUGGUUAAAUUCUCAGUUUCCUUGGGAAAUGGAAAGCCACUGAAUAUCACAUUUAGAAAAUUCUCCCUGCUUUCCCUCCCUCAUUCAGUCCUAAAUUGGGGCUGAAACUCUCAGAAAUUCCCCAGGCAUCAGGUGGCUUUCGUGGAGAUGUACUCCCAAAAAUUACUUUUCUGAGUACAGCUUUCUAUGUGGUUUAAAAGAUUAUUGAACUAUGGGAGCUGAUGUUCAACAUGAGGUGGAGUACCUUUGAAAAGCCCUUUAUAUUUAAAAUACAUUUUAAUAACAGUAUCUGCCUUGACCAGAACCUCCUAUUAGUCUGCCAUGAGCUACAGAUAAGAGGAGAUGAUUGCAGAGGGGAUUAUAUGCCUAUUUUUAAACUAAACUUUUUGCAUGUGACAGAAACUCACGAAAUGGAGAUUAAACCCACAUUUUAAAGCUACAGUAUAUUGUAUCUUUACUUGUGAGUAAUGGCAACUAAAUGGAGAAAAACUAAUGGAUGCAUAAGAUUGAGAUGCUCUCUGAAAAUUCUGUCUCUUUCCGUCUCUCUAACUAUUUACAGGUAUCCCUCCACAUCCACAGACUCUGCAUCCACAGAUCCCACCAUUCAUAGCUUGAAAAUAUUCAAGGCUGGGCGAUUUAUUAAAAUGCUCUUUCUUUAGAUCCAUAUGGGGCAUUUUCUGGUACAAAGGGCUGGCAAUUCAUUUGAUGCCUUGGUGGCACUAUGGAACCAUGUGAUAAGAUUGGUCAUCAACAAAGGCACUCCAUAACAUCCAAUCUGGUGGUAUAGAUCUCAUUAUUCACUUUGACCCCAGUUUCUCUUUUCUCCUCUCCCUUUCUCACUUUGUCCUCAGCUUACUUCAGUGCCUGCAAACUGAAUUCAAAGUACAAAAGGAUUUGCACUCAGUUUAAUUCUGCUGGAGAGAGAGAGGAGAGAAGAGGAUGGGAUUUCGCUUUUCCAAGUCGUCUUAAGCAAAACUAAAAACACUCUUCUCAGCUUGUAUGUUCUUCUUCACUAUAACUUGUGCCACCCUAACCACAUUCUGAUUUUUCUUGACCCCAAGCUAGAACAUGUCCAGAGAAGGGGGACCAAAAUGAUCUAAGGUUUGGAAGCCAAGCCCUAUGAAGAAUGGCUUAGGGAGCUGGGUAUGUUUAGCUUGGAGAAAUGAAGGCUAUGAGGGGACACGAUAGACAUGUUUAAAUAAAUGAACGGAUGUCACACUGAGGAGGGGACAAGCUUGUUUUCUGCUGCUCUGGAGACUAGGACAUAGAGUAAUUGAUUUAAAUUGCAGGAAAAUAGAUUUCACCUCAACAUUAGGAAGAACUGUUUGGCAGUGGAAUAUGCCGCCUCAUAGUGUGGUGGAAUCUCCUUCUUUGGAGGUCUUUAAAGAGAGGCUGGAUGGCCAUCUUUCAGGAAUGCUUUGAUGGCACUUUGGGUCUCUUCUAUGCCUGUGAUUCUAUGAUUCCACAUAGAAAGUCAACACAUUAUAGUGCUCAUAUGCACUCUAGAUCAGCACUUUCCAAACAUUUUAUGUUGGUGACACACUUUUUGGACAUACAUCAUUUCAUGACACAGUAAUUCAGUUUUGCUAGCAAACUGGAUGUUAAAUCGACUCCUUAUAAGAGAUGCAGACUCAUACAUAAAUUGUAAUAUUCAAAUGUAUGGAGACACAGCAUAUCUCAUGAAGACUUGUCAUUUUCAUAUAUAUUAAAAUAUAUGAUUCAUUGCUUAGUUCACAGAGAUUUCUAGUUACCUUUGCGUAGCCCACCUACACACUGCAGCUGACACACUAACGUGUAGCAACACACAAAUUUGAAAGCUGUGCUUCCUCAUAGGACUUGUCUUCUUAUGAGAGGUAAAGAAGUAAGAUUUGUUAUCAUUGGAGUGUUUAAAUUAUGCCUUUGACUAUUCUAAAUCUGGAGAUGUUUGUUCAUGAAUACCAUAGUGGGGCCGGGCUGUGGCGCAGGCUGGUAAACAGCUGCUGCAAUAAAUCACUCUGACCAUGAGGUCAUGAGUUCGAGGCCACCCCAUGGCGGGGUGAGUACCCGUCAAUUAAAAAUAAAAUAUAGCCCCUGCUCGUUGCUGACCUAGCAACCCGAAAGAUAGUUGCAUCUAUCAAGUAGGAAAUAAGGUACCACUUAUAAAAGUGGGGAGGCAAGUUUAACUAAUUUACAACGUUGGAAUGAGGAAGUGAGGAAGUGCCAUCAGAGUGGAUGAUGAAGCAGCUGCUCCCCCCUGUGGCCAGAAUCGAACAUCCCCUCAGGAGAAGGUUAAAUUGCCUCUGUAUCUGUCUGUCUGUUGUCUCUGUCUCUGUUCGAUGUGUUUAUAGGCAUUGAAUGUUUGCCCUAUAUGUACAUAAUGUGAUCCGCCCUGAGUCCCCUUUGGGGUGAGAAGGGCGGAAUAUAAAUACUGUAAAUAAAUAAAUAAAUAAAUAAAUAGUGUAAAAAGGAAAAUGGUUCUCCCUCCUAAAUCCCCCUUGCCACAAGGUGGCAAGAUAUGAGGGAAAGUUGAUCUUGGAGGUAUUUUGUGCAUUUCCAAGUGUACUUUUGGCCAUUUCUGAACAUGUGAAAAAUAUGACAACAGAUACUUUCUUGAAUGGACUAGGAAAAUAGUAGCCUUUGAACAGGUUUAUAGCCUAUCCUUUUGUGUUUGUGCAUGUAUGCUUAGAUGGAUAGACACCUUUGUGGAGAAAUAUUUCAUGCAAAAUGCAGAAAACACAACCUGUCCUAAACACUUGGCGUUUUACACCAAAGGGAGACCUUGUGUGCGGAGUAGUGUGCCCUCAACCUUUCUCAAUCAAAAUCUCAGCAACUUAUGGGUCUUGUUUUUACAUUUCUGUGCAUUUGUAAAUAAGUACAAAUAUUAUACAUUGCCAGUAAGCCUUUAGUGGGCUUCAUCCAAAGGAGAUAAAACCCAGGUAAAUGCUGCACCUCAGAAACAUUUUACCAGCUGAAGAAAAUGUUUUACUUGUUUGCUAUAUUACACAGGCCAAAUUACUACUGUUUUGCUUUUUUGCGUAGAAUUGCAUAAUGAUCAAAUAAGCAACAGACAAAGAAGAGUGAUGUAGCAUACAUUAAAGUAAAUGAUUGUGCUGGCUAUCAAGGCCUAUUGUAUCUGAAAUAUUUAUUCUAUCGGUUACAAGCAUAGUAAUUAUUUCUUGCUCUUCUCCAGUUGCAGCUCUGUGAAGCUGCUUAUUCCAUCAAGUAUGAUCUCAGAAUGUAUUUCGAUAUCCCAAUGCCAGACUUGCUGUGAAACCAUGUGAUAAACCACACUGUAAAAAUCCAAGAUAAAGAUGACGAGAUCCAUUA